GAGUCAGAGGCAGGCAGAUCUUAG
rnacentral:piRNA from 1 species